GAUGAACGCUGGCGGCGUGCCUAAUACAUGCAAGUCGAGCGAACAGACGAGGAGCUUGCUCCUUUGACGUUAGCGGCGGACGGGUGAGUAACACGUAGGUAACCUACCUAUAAGACUGGGAUAACUUCGGGAAACCGGAGCUAAUACCGGAUAAUAUUUCGAACCGCAUGGUUCGAUAGUGAAAGAUGGCUUUGCUAUCACUUAUAGAUGGACCUGCGCCGUAUUAGCUAGUUGGUAAGGUAACGGCUUACCAAGGCAACGAUACGUAGCCGACCUGAGAGGGUGAUCGGCCACACUGGAACUGGGACACGGUCCAGACUCCUACGGGAGGCAGCAGUAGGGAAUCUUCCGAAAUGGGCGAAAGCCUGACGGAGCAAAGCCGCGUGAGUGAUGAAGGUCUUCGGAUCGUAAAACUCUGUUAUUAGGGAAGAACAAACGUGUAAGUAACUGUGCACGUCUUGACGGUACCUAAUCAGAAAGCCACGGCUAACUACGUG
rnacentral:rRNA from 1 species